rnacentral:rRNA from 1 species
UCUAUAAGACGAGAAGACCCCAUGGAGCUUUAAACCCAACUACACUCCUUUUUGACUUUACUUUUUAACUCCUAGGAUUUUGUAUGUUCUGGUUUUAGGUUGGGGUGACCGCGGAGCAUAAAUUAGCCUCCACAAUGAAUAGACCUUCUCUUUAUCCAAGACUUACACCUCUAAGAAUUAGUAUUCUAACAUAAAAUGAUCCGAUAUU